rnacentral:rRNA from 1 species
GGGUUGUGAGGUUAAGCGACUAAGCGUACACGGUGGAUGCCCUGGCAGUCAGAGGCGAUGAAGGGCGUGCUAAUCUGCGAUAAGCGCCGGUAAGGUGAUAUGAACCGUUAUAACCGGCGAUACCCGAAUGGGGAAACCCAGUGUGAUUCGUCACACUAUCAUUAACUGAAUCCAUAGGUUAAUGAGGCGAACCGGGGGAACUGAAACAUCUAAGUACCCCGAGGAAAAGAAAUCAACCGAGAUUCCCCAGUAGCGGCGAGCGAACGGGGAGGAGCCCAGAGCCUGAAUCAGCAUGUGUGUUAGUGGAAGCGUCUGGAAAGGCGCGCGAUACAGGGUGACAGCCCCGUACACAAAAGCGCAUGUGCUGUGAGCUCGAUGAGUAGGGCGGGACACGUGGUAUCCUGUCUGAAUAUGGGGGGACCAUCCUCCAAGGCUAAAUACUCCUGACUGACCGAUAGUGAACCAGUACCGUGAGGGAAAGGCGAAAAGAACCCCGGCGAGGGAGUGAAAAAGAACCUGAAACCGUGUACGUACAAGCAGUGGGAGCACCCUUCGGGGUGUGACUGCGUACCUUUUGUAUAAUGGGUCAGCGACUUAUAUUCUGUAGCAAGGUUAACCGUAUAGGGGAGCCGGAGGGAAACCGAGUCUUAAUUGGGCGUUAAGUUGCAGGGUAUAGACCCGAAACCCGGUGAUCUAGCCAUGGGCAGGUUGAAGGUUGGGUAACACUAACUGGAGGACCGAACCGACUAAUGUUGAAAAAUUAGCGGAUGACCUGUGGCUGGGGGUGAAAGGCCAAUCAAACCGGGAGAUAGCUGGUUCUCCCCGAAAGCUAUUUAGGUAGCGCCUCGUGAAUUCAUCUCCGGGGUAGAGCACUGUUUCGGCUAGGGGGCCAUCCCGGCUUACCAACCCGAUGCAAACUGCGAAUACCGGAGAAUGUUAUCACGGGAGACACACGGCGGGUGCUAACGUCCGUCGUGAAGAGGGAAACAACCCAGACCGCCAGCUAAGGUCCCAAAGUCAUGGUUAAGUGGGAAACGAUGUGGGAAGGCCCAGACAGCCAGGAUGUUGGCUUAGAAGCAGCCAUCAUUUAAAGAAAGCGUAAUAGCUCACUGGUCGAGUCGGCCUGCGCGGAAGAUGUAACGGGGCUAAACCAUGCACCGAAGCUGCGGCAGCGAACGUAUCACCCAAGACAACUUUACGGAGUUGACGAUUGACGGAGCGAAGCGACGUCAAAGCGUUCAUUAAAGUCGAGUUGGCUUAGGGAUACGUUCGUUGGGUAGGGGAGCGUUCUGUAAGCCUGUGAAGGUGUGUCGUGAGGCAUGCUGGAGGUAUCAGAAGUGCGAAUGCUGACAUAAGUAACGAUAAAGCGGGUGAAAAGCCCGCUCGCCGGAAGACCAAGGGUUCCUGUCCAACGUUAAUCGGGGCAGGGUGAGUCGACCCCUAAGGCGAGGCCGAAAGGCGUAGUCGAUGGGAAACGGGUUAAUAUUCCCGUACUUGGUGUUACUGCGAAGGGGGGACGGAGAAGGCUAUGUUGGCCGGGCGACGGUUGUCCCGGUUUAAGCGUGUAGGUGUGUGUUCCAGGUAAAUCCGGUUCACUUUAACACUGAGGCGUGACGACGAGGCACUACGGUGCUGAAGCAACAAAUGCCCUGCUUCCAGGAAAAGCCUCUAAGCAUCAGGUAACACGAAAUCGUACCCCAAACCGACACAGGUGGUCAGGUAGAGAAUACCAAGGCGCUUGAGAGAACUCGGGUGAAGGAACUAGGCAAAAUGGUGCCGUAACUUCGGGAGAAGGCACGCUGACACGUAGGUGAAGUGAUUUACUCAUGGAGCUGAAGUCAGUCGAAGAUACCAGCUGGCUGCAACUGUUUAUUAAAAACACAGCACUGUGCAAACACGAAAGUGGACGUAUACGGUGUGACGCCUGCCCGGUGCCGGAAGGUUAAUUGAUGGGGUCAGCGUAAGCGAAGCUCCUGAUCGAAGCCCCGGUAAACGGCGGCCGUAACUAUAACGGUCCUAAGGUAGCGAAAUUCCUUGUCGGGUAAGUUCCGACCUGCACGAAUGGCGUAAUGAUGGCCAGGCUGUCUCCACCCGAGACUCAGUGAAAUUGAACUCGCUGUGAAGAUGCAGUGUACCCGCGGCAAGACGGAAAGACCCCGUGAACCUUUACUAUAGCUUGACACUGAACAUUGAGCCUUGAUGUGUAGGAUAGGUGGGAGGCUUUGAAGUGUGGACGCCAGUCUGCAUGGAGCCGACCUUGAAAUACCACCCUUUAAUGUUUGAUGUUCUAACGUGGACCCGUAAUCCGGGUUGCGGACAGUGUCUGGUGGGUAGUUUGACUGGGGCGGUCUCCUCCUAAAGAGUAACGGAGGAGCACGAAGGUUGGCUAAUCCUGGUCGGACAUCAGGAGGUUAGUGCAAUGGCAUAAGCCAGCUUGACUGCGAGCGUGACGGCGCGAGCAGGUGCGAAAGCAGGUCAUAGUGAUCCGGUGGUUCUGAAUGGAAGGGCCAUCGCUCAACGGAUAAAAGGUACUCCGGGGAUAACAGGCUGAUACCGCCCAAGAGUUCAUAUCGACGGCGGUGUUUGGCACCUCGAUGUCGGCUCAUCACAUCCUGGGGCUGAAGUAGGUCCCAAGGGUAUGGCUGUUCGCCAUUUAAAGUGGUACGCGAGCUGGGUUUAGAACGUCGUGAGACAGUUCGGUCCCUAUCUGCCGUGGGCGCUGGAGAACUGAGGGGGCUGCUCCUAGUACGAGAGGACCGGAGUGGACGCAUCACUGGUGUUCGGGUUGUCAUGCCAAUGGCACUGCCCGGUAGCUAAAUGCGGAAGAGAUAAGUGCUGAAAGCAUCUAAGCACGAAACUUGCCCCGAGAUGAGUUCUCCCUGAGACUUAGAGUCUCCUGAAGGAACGUUGAAGACGACGACGUUGAUAGGCCGGGUGUGUAAGCGCAGCGAUGCGUUGAGCUAACCGGUACUAAUGAACCGUGAGGCUUAACCUUACAACGCCGAAG